GCUUUUUCAAAUAGAACUUAGCUAAGUUCGAACCAUGUAAGUAAUUGGUAGUUUCUUAAAAACUAGCAUUUCCGUAUUUUCCCUGUAAGUGUAGACUAAGAGUUUGCAGAGAGUGAGAAACUGCAGGUUAAUUUAGAAUAAUUUCUAUCAAUCAAAAAUCGACCUUCUAUUUAUGCUUGAAAAGUCUAAGUGCAUGGAGGAGGAUGAACGGAUUUCGCAGAAGAAUGAUGGGAAGAUGUUUUCCAACUUCAGAUUUUUUAUAUAAGGUUAUGUGAUGGUGUCCCAUCUACGAGGAGCGAACCCUACCAAUCUGUAACUGGUGGUAAUGAAAGCGACUCAAAGCCAAAACCAGACAUGAGAUGGAACGUUUUCUGCAGGCACGGUGGAAGCUUUGGCCUUUUGCACAUUUGAUAACAUAUGGUGUUGUACCUGUGGAACAGAGGAUGCUAUGGGUGGAUUGUGUUGAACUUAUCUGGGUACUCCAAUGAAAAAUCAGAAACUAGAAUUUUCGAAGCAUCUUCUCAAGGAAAGUCUGGCAAUGAAUUCUGUAUCAGAUGUCUCCAAGGAUCAAUGAAGAGACUGGUAUCUAUCUGCAAAUGCUCUUUUUGGCUUGAAGUGACCUUCUCUAUGAUCAUUGCUACAGCAGAUAUUGAAUUUUCAGACCUUAAUAAAAUGUGAAGCACACGGGUUAAUGCUUAUCUCUAAAUAUGAAGAGAACCGAAAGAGUUGAAGAGAGAGAAGAGUAACUGACUGAGACCGUUGGACUUCACAUUGAAUGGUCCAAAUCCUACCCCAAAGCUACCAUUCGGCACAAGCUGUGAGGGUGCUAUCAAAGGUUGUAGAGUCUGGAUUUACACCUGCCAACUGCAUUUGCUUGAAAGUUUCUUCAUUAGGAGAUUGAACGCUCAGAGCCAUGAAAACCCUCAACAAUAUUCCAGGCUGUUGUGAAAACCCUCCCAUUCAAUCUGCUUUUCGUUCACCGUUGGGCCACAUGAACCACCAUCUUGGUGUUGAAAAGAAAAUAUUUCCGAUUUCUUGGAAGGAUUUUUGGGGUUCAUUUUAUUAGAUGCCUUUUUUCUGCUGGGGUUUCGGAGUCUCUUUUUGCUGCUCUCGGCUUCGAUUCUUUGAAGUUUUUGAUUCUUCCAAGUCUUUGUUUAUGAGGUAAAUAUUCAAACGCAAGGAAAGGAUAAUGACAUGCAUUUUCUUGUGGGUUGGGCUGGUUUUAUGCAAAAUGAGGGUUUUUUAAUGACUGUUAAGGGUAACUUCUAAUAAGAAUCCACUAUGGAUUAUUCUUUGAUUGAUGGCCAUACCUUAUGUCACUUUAUCUUAAUGUAGUAUUUAGAGGUAGUAAAUUCUCAAUUUUAUGGCUCUUUUAAUUGAUUCCGUUGUUUCGCCAAGUGGGAUUAGAGUUUCUUGGUAUUGACGUGCAUCUGCCUUAAGGGCUAUUUUGUUUUUUUAAAUGUUUUUGCUGAGAUCAUAUCAACUUAAAACUUAACCAUCUCCACCGUCUCUUUGCAAGAGAAAAAAGAAUGCGCAAUCAUGUAACAAAUAUAUGAAUUGUUGUAUCUUGCUUGCCUUUCUCAUUAUUCAAUUUUCUAUUUGGUCUGUUAUUAUAUACUAUUGUUUUUUUAAUGUUCUUGUUAUUGUGUUUGAGCAAUUCAUUAUUUAUAUUCUCAUUUUGCCGCUUUUGAU